CGCCUCCCUCCGCCGCCACUCACGACUCCGUACGGGACGGCGAGCAGUCGAGAAUCUUCGCAGUGGCGCAAGCCUGACCGAGCGACGCCGCGUGGAGGACGAAGGCCGUUCGGUUGUAACUCCUGUCGAGGGGAGGAAGGCGCAAGCUUGACCGACUCCCUCGGACGGAAGCACGGGCUAAGUUCGUGCCAGCAGCCGCGGUAAUAC
rnacentral:rRNA from 1 species